rnacentral:ncRNA from 1 species
UCACAGACUAGGAGAAGCCGACUGCGAUGGCACCAGAAGGUGUUUACGCAAUGUGAUCUACCCAGUGCUCUGAAUGUAAACGUCAAGAAAUUCAACCAAGAGCGGGUAAACGACGGGUGUAACUAUGACACUCCUGCUGUACCCGGUUGCGGCCCCCCGUUCUGGGCGGACAUGGCAACGUCCGGCAGCAAUGCCAUCUAAGAGUAUGGGUUCGGUUUUCGGACCGUGAGCUAAACGCCAUCGGGGAAGCAACGCGGGACACAAGGGGCUAAGGA